GUGAAUCAUCAAAUUUUUGAACGCAAAUUGCACUCCCUGGUAUUCCGGGGAGUAUGCCUGUUUGAGGGUCGGUAGAAGAAAAAUCGAAGCAUCGCUCUUUUUUGAUGGUGAUCGCGUCGGAAUUGAGCCGUCUUUCAAAUGUUAAUUCAUGUCAAAGUGGCUUAAAAUUCAUCCAUCCGGUACGAUUAAAGCUUAUUUAAGAUCAAUUUUGUUUAAGAACGCACUAUGACGUACCAUCUCUUUUAGUACGUUUG
rnacentral:misc_RNA from 1 species